CUCGCCAGUGCGCAUGCGCGAGGCCCGAGCCGCCGCUUUGGUCACAGUGACCGCCACCGUUGCCCGGGUAUGGGUCCCUGAGACUUGGCGAAGUAGGAGCCCUGUGUGAUCGUGCGUCAGAGUCGGGGCUGAGACCAGCCCUGGCCAGGGCAGUUACCAGGACGGUCUCCGGAGGCCGGGAUUCGCGGAGGGUCCACCAGCAGGAAGAAACCCCAGGAGGAAGAAACCUCAGACAGAUCGCCGGGGAGGCAGCGCGGGAUCCCAGCCUCAGGCGUGCGCGGACGGUGUGCGGGCUGGCAUUAUUGGCAUUAGAUCACUGAAGAGUAAAUAAAGUGAGCAAGAAUACUCUCUUGUCACCAGAUUACUGAGGUGUACUGGAAACUCAGCUAGCAAAAAAGAGAAGCAGCUGAACAUCAAAAGAGAAGCAGCAGCUGGGCAUCAGAGACUACGGUUGGACGUUGGAGAGAAGCAGCUUGAUUUCAGAGAGACAGCUUGACAGUGCAACUUUGGAGAAGAGUCCAGCCAGAAACCUUCCUGCUACAUCUCCUUCCCAGCUGCCCUUCCUGCUGAGAGCCACUUUCCUUGGCAAUAAAAUCCUCUGCAUUUACCAUCCUUCAA
ensembl:lncRNA novel transcript